CACUCCUACGGGAGGCAGCAGUGGGGAAUUUUGGACAAUGGGCGAAAGCCUGAUCCAGCAAUGCCGCGUGCAGGAUGAAGGCCUUCGGGUUGUAAACUGCUUUUGUACGGAACGAAAAAGCUCCUUCUAAUACAGGGGGCCCAUGACGGUACCGUAAGAAUAAGCACCGGCUAACUACGUGCCAGCAGCCGCGGUAAUACGUAGGGUGCGAGCGUUAAUCGGAAUUACUGGGCGUAAAGCGUGCGCAGGCGGUUAUGUAAGACAGAUGUGAAAUCCCCGGGCUCAACCUGGGAACUGCAUUUGUGACUGCAUGGCUAGAGUACGGUAGAGGGGGAUGGAAUUCCGCGUGUAGCAGUGAAAUGCGUAGAUAUGCGGAGGAACACCGAUGGCGAAGGCAAUCCCCUGGACCUGUACUGACGCUCAUGCACGAAAGCGUGGGGAGCAAACAGGAUUAGAUACCCCAGUAGUCACAUG
rnacentral:rRNA from 1 species